AUUCUCAUUUUCCAUGCCUUUCUAUUUCUCCUCUUCCCGUUAACUUCUUCUUCUCUCCCAGCAACAACAUUUUCACCACCACCACAGCCACCACCAACACCGUCCUUGUCAGUCAAAACCACCGCCGUCCUCACCUAACCACCAUCCUUCUCAUCUUUUCUUCAGUCUUCCUCACCACUGCAACCCCCAUCGUCCUCACACCAUCAAUCUAUUCAGAUCAGCUCUCCC
rnacentral:lncRNA from 1 species